UACGUAGGGUGCAAGCGUUGUCCGGAAUUAUUGGGCGUAAAGAGCUCGUAGGCGGCUUGUCACGUCGGUUGUGAAAACCUGGGGCUCAACCCCAGGCCUGCAGCCGAUACGGGCAAGCUAGAAUUCGGUAGGGGAGACUGGAAUUCCUGGUGUAGCGGUGAAAUGCGCAGAUAUCAGGAGGAACACCGGUGGCGAAGGCGGUUCUCUGGGCCUUACCUGACGUUGAGGAGCGAAAGCGUGGGGAGCGAACAGG
rnacentral:rRNA from 1 species